rnacentral:rRNA from 1 species
GAAUACAGUGCAUUGGCAAGUGCUGUAUUUUACUUUUAGUAUUAUCUCAGAAGCUAAGCAGCGUCGGGCCUNGUUAGUACUUGGAUGAAAGACCGCCUGGGAAUACUGGGUGCUGUAGGCU